UCAAAGUAUGAAGGGAAUAUUGAAUGUGCUAGUAAGUCAAUUUUGCUUACCUCCCCAGAAGGGAGAAGGAUCAAGUAUGUAUCCCGGCAUGUGCCAAAGGGCACUCAAGUAAAUUGCCUAACAGGAGUUGUGCAGGAGGAAGUACCAGUGGUAAGGGAUUUUACCGAUGUAUUUCCGGAAGAGUUGCCAGGCAUGCCACCGGAUAGAGAUAUUGAGUUUUUGAUUGAGCUAUUGCCAGGCACAGGGCCAAUAUCUAAGAGACCAUAUAGGAUGCCAACAAAGGAUUUGGUGGAAAUUAAGAAGCAGAUUAAGGAGUUACUGGAUAAGGGAUAUAUCCGCCCAAGUUCUUCGCCUUGGGGAUCGCCAGUACUUCUAGUGGAGAAGAAGGAUGGAUCGUUAAGGAUGGUUGUUGAUUAU
rnacentral:rRNA from 1 species